UGAACGCUGGCGGCGUGCUUAACACAUGCAAGUCGCACGAGAACGCUUCAGCUUGCUGAAGUUAGUAAAGUGGCGCACGGGUGAGUAACGCGUGGGUAAUCUACCCUUGAAUUGGGGAUAACCCGCCGAAAGGCGGGCUAAUACCGAAUGACAUCUUGAAAACUUAUGUUUUCAGGAUCAAAGGUGGCCUCUACAUGUAAGCUAUUGUUUGGGGAUGAGCCCGCGUACCAUUAGCUUGUUGGUAGGGUAAUGGCCUACCAAGGCUACGAUGGUUAGCUGGUCUGAGAGGAUGAUCAGCCACACUGGAACUGACACACGGUCCAGACUCCUACGGGAGGCAGCAGUGAGGAAUUUUGCGAAAUGGGGGAAACCCUGACGCAGCAACGCCGCGUGAGUGAUGAAGGCUUUCGGGUCGUAAAGCUCUGUCAAGUGGGAAGAAGUCAUAUGGUGUUAAUACUGCCAUGUGUUGACGGUACCACUGAAGGAAGCACCGGCUAACUCC
rnacentral:rRNA from 1 species